rnacentral:rRNA from 3 species
CGUUCUGUAAGCCUGUGAAGGUGUGUCGUGAGGCAUGCUGGAGGUAUCAGAAGUGCGAAUGCUGACAUAAGUAACGAUAAAGCGGGUGAAAAGCCCGCUCGCCGGAAGACCAAGGGUUCCUGUCCAACGUUAAUCGGGGCAGGGUGAGUCGACCCCUAAGGCGAGGCCGAAAGGCGUAGUCGAUGGGAAACGGGUUAAUAUUCCCGUACUUGGUGUUACUGCGAAGGGGGGACGGAGAAGGCUAUGUUGGCCGGGCGACGGUUGUCCCGGUUUAAGCGUGUAGGUGUGUGUUCCAGGUAAAUCCGGUUCACUUUAACACUGAGGCGUGACGACGAGGCACUACGGUGCUGAAGCAACAAAUGCCCUGCUUCCAGGAAAA